UACGGGGGGGGUAAGCGUUGUUCGGAAUUACUGGGCGUAAAGGGCUCGUAGGCGGCCAACUAAGUCAUACGUGAAAUCCCUCGGCUUAACCGGGGAACUGCGUCUGAUACUGUUUGGCUUGAGUUUGGGAGAGGGAUGCGGAAUUCCAGGUGUAGCGGUGAAAUGCGUAGAUAUCUGGAGGAACACCGGUGGCGAAGGCGGCAUCCUGGACCAAUACUGACACUGAGGAGCGAAAGCCAGGGGAGCAAACGGG
rnacentral:rRNA from 1 species